rnacentral:rRNA from 1 species
CCUACGGGAGGCUGCAGUGGGGGAUAUUGCACAAUGGGGGGAACCCUGAUGCAGCGACGCCGCGUGGGUGAAGAAGCGCCUCGGCGCGUGAAGCCCUGUCAGCAGGGAAGAAAAUGACGGUACCUGAAGAAGAAGCCCCGGCUAACUACGUGCCAGCAGCCGCGGUAAUACGUAGGGGGCAAGCGUUAUCCGGAUUUACUGGGUGUAAAGGGGGCGCAGACGGAUUUUUAAGUCAGCGGUAAAAUGUCCGGGCUCAACCCGGGCCGGCCGUUGAAACUGGGGAUCUUGAGUGGGCGAGAAGUAUGCGGAAUGCGUGGUGUAGCGGUGAAAUGCAUAGAUAUCACGCAGAACUCCGAUUGCGAAGGCAGCAUACCGGCGCCCGACUGACGCUGAGGCACGAAAGCGUGGGGAUCGAACAGGAUUAGAUACCCCUGUAGUC